rnacentral:rRNA from 1 species
CCCAGACUCCUACGGGAGGCAGCAGUGGGGGAUAUUGCACAAUGGGGGGAACCCUGAUGCAGCGACGCCGCGUGGGUGAAGGAGCGUUUCGGCGCGUAAAGCCCUAUCGGCAGGGAAGAAGCAAGACGGUACCUGACUAAGAAGCCCCGGCUAACUACGUGCCAGCAGCCGCGGUAAUACGUAGGGGGCGAGCGUUAUCCGGAUUCACUGGGUGUAAAGGGAGCGUAGACGGCCAAGCAAGCCAGGGGUGAAAGCCCGGGGCCCAACCCCGGGACUGCCCUUGGAACUGCUUGGCUGGAGUGCGGGAGGGGCAGGCGGAAUUCCUGGUGUAGCGGUGAAAUGCGUAGAUAUCAGGAGGAACACCGGCGGCGAAGGCGGCCUGCUGGACCGCGACUGACGUUGAGGCUCGAAAGCGUGGGGAGCGAACAGGAUUAGAUACCCGGGUAUG